rnacentral:lncRNA from 1 species
UUUAGUUUAUAUGAGUUUUGAAUUUGGUGUUUGUAUAGAAUGACUGUUAAAGUGAAUGUAGUAGAAACUUGUUGGCUUCUGAUGAAAUUAGUAUGUGUUUUAAUGCUAAAUCCCUGCUUGAAAUACCAAGCAUAGGUAUAUGUUAUCUUCAUGUAGUUUGUUCUUUGAAACUAGGAAUUAUCUGUAGCUUCACCCAUGGUUGUUAAAUGGUUGUAGUGUCUUGAUUAAUUUGCACGCAUAAAAAUUUGGGGUGUUAGUUUAAAAAUUAGCUGCACAAUAGCAUUGGGGCUGAUGUGAAGAUUGUGUAGAUUUCUGAAUCGAAAAAUUCUAAUUCCUUUAGUUCAGUAGUAAUUAGAUAUAAUCGGUGGUUAUGUUGUUGUUGCGUAAAUUUCUAUUUUAGUUAAAAAGUUAAUUGAAGCAUGAUAAUGAUAAUUAAU